GUCUGUUUUAUGCUUUGGUCAGAUUGUUGUCUCUUUGACACCUUCCCAAUUUCUGUUCUCAAGUGAAUUAUAUUGUUUAGAAUGUGGCAUAUAAUUGAUAAGGCUUUGAUUUUGUUUUGUUUUGGUUGUUUUAUUGAUAAUACAUGUGCAUGCACGCAAAGAUAGAGACAAUAACCACGUCCACGCUCUCGAUGUAGAUCCUGCAUUCAUGGAGUUCAUGCUAUUCUACCAGUUUGUGUUACAUUGAUUUGUCUCUUCUAAUUCGACUUACGAGGGUUGAACACUGGUAAAAUCUGUUGCCUUUUUUAAUAC
rnacentral:lncRNA from 1 species